AAUGUGAUGAACUACAUAAUAUAGUUCUAAUAUUGGACUACGCUUGUAUUCCUGGAGCACAUCAGGCUCAUGAUUCUCCUGCUGUAUCCAGUCUUGCUAAUAUUUAUUAUAUAUUUUUUAUCUUCGUUCAUAAGGGUGAUGGGCAAAUACCUGGGGAGAUGGCUGUCCAUCAUCUGUUCCUCAACAAUUCAGUAGACUUUUUGCAUAAAUCUGGGUCUGGUACCUUUAAUUAAAGAAAGAGACCUUUAACUACUUUCUCGUUUAUCUGUAAUUACUGUGAUUCAUACUUCUUCUUGGGUCAGUUUUUGUAAUUCCUGUAAAAUGAGACAUUUCCAAUUUAUAAAAUUUUACUUUGACAUUAUAAAACUCUGCUAUCCAGCCAUACUGACAUCCCUUUCUCGGUUGCUACCACUAACCUCUACCGCCGACCUGUUGACUUCCUUCAGAGGAGGAAGGAACUUUGCCUUAGCAACAGUGGAUGAGGUUGAUGAUGAUUUGAAUGCUAUGAUUGUUCUUCUGUUUCCCUACCACUAUUUACUUUAUUCUGUUUGCUUUUGGUUACCUCCCUGAAUCACCGACCACUAAAAUGGCAGAAUGGGAUGGGGGGGAAAUGGUCUAAUAUCAAGAUACCAAGAUUCUCAUCCUGGUUCCAGAACUUAGAAGCCUCCAACACAUACCGUGCCGUGGACACCUCAAUUCCUCUCAAAAUGAGAAUCGUUACGAUAGGGGCCAGUGGCACAAGGUGGGGAAGAGACAAACUCCCCAGGGGAAAAGAAGCUGAGCUUGGAAUUCUAUGGAAGCACGGAUUGUUCAGCCUCCCACCCGGUCUCUUCAGGAUGUGUCCGCAGAGAGCAUGCUACCAAACCAUGGGCGCCUUGGAAGGUCUAAUGCUCUGGCACUGAGGUCUGUUCUCCUGGCCGCAGCUCAAGUCAAUGCCAGGCGGAAUGAACAACGGAAGGGGAGAAAAUGGUCGCGUGUCAUCAACGGAAUCAACCGUAUUUACUACAAAGCGACUCUAGACACAACACGGAAGCUCAAGAUUCUUCCAAAGUUAGACGACGGACUUGAAUUCUUAAAGUGGAAUCAUAUUGCAAUGAUGGUUUUGUAACUUGAUGUUUUCCACUCAGUAAUAUAUCGUGACUAUCUCUCCGUGGCAAUCAACACACCUUGACAGCACCAUGUCCUAAUUAACUUUUCACUGAAAUAUCCUAAACCUUCAGAAAAGUGCACAUUUCAGAAGCACAGAGCUGGGUGCAUUUUCACCAACUGGCCAGACCCUGUAACAAGCUACUGCACCAAGAGGAAGAACGUGGCUGACACCCAGAGCCCCGCACCCGGCUCGUUCCAGGGAUCUCCCUUUCCCGAGAGUACCCGCCACCUUGUACCUGGACCCCCCAGCAGCCUGGGUUCAUUCCCAGCCCCACGCUGCAUGGCCUCAUGGGCGAUCCGGGGAAACCUGUGUCCUCUCGAAGGCCAGCUUGAGAUCUAACCCCCCGAGACCUGCAGAUGUGACCUUACGCAGAAGCAAGGCUCCUGCGGAGGUGAUGGAGCUCGGCUGAAGUCCCUGGGGGAGGGGGUGCAUGGAGACAGAGACCCCGGGGAGCGAGCCACAUGAGGAGGACGCAGAGCCGGAGCCCUGCAGCCCAAACACGGGCACCAGGUGUCAUGGGGAGAGGCAGGGAAGGGUUCGGGCCACACCUUGGUUGCAGACCUCAGCCUCCACAACAGUGCAUGGACCGCAGUGCCGUGGUCCUAAGGCGCCUGGAUGGAGGGGCUCGGCCCCGGCAGCUGCAGGAAGCCCAUAGGGACUCGGCUCGGCCUUGAUGGAGCUACAGUCUUUCUAACAUUUUAUUAUUCUCAUGCUGUUCUGAAUAUGCCUUUCACCUUUUCUCGUCAGAAGAAAUUGCAAAAGUGAAGUCCGUGUCGCAGAAUCUUAGUGGGAACUAUCAGUCCGACAGUGGCCAUGACCCAUCAAAUCACCACUUUUAAGAGUUGGACUUGGAGAAGCAGUCGAUGGGCACUGCUUCCCUUGCAUGUGUUCUCCUGUAACUCCAGUUUCACCAGGAUCCCCUAACUCCUGGGUACAAUGGACCCACGUAAGGAUACACCUGACUCCUGCCACCGUCUGCAUAAAGCAGAAAAUCCCAGACCCUUGUUUCUGGAAGC